CACCCUCCGGGGUUUCAGACAUUACACACCAGCUCUUUAUUUUGUCUAAGCCCGUUCUGCACGUGAGUCCCAAGUAGACAAUCAGACUCUACUAGAUACCUGGGGAGGACUCUGGGGUUAAACCUGCCCAUUUGAGGUAGUCUUCUGUGUCGCUACGUUAGGAGAUUCAUAGCCACCCUCCCCUGGAGGCAGGUGAUGGCUCUGGGUCGAAAGCAUUUACCCUGCUUUCCUAGGAGCUGCUUAUCACUGCUCCUCAUCAGCUCUCAACAUUCUUUCCUAUCUGGGCUCCAGUCAGUCUCUGGCUUCUGGUUCAAGCCAUUUAGAUGCCACAGUCAUUUCUCCCUUGCGUCUUAUUUUAGAAAGUAUUACCUCCUCUUUCUGUUUUUAAUGUCUAAAAGCCCUACAUGAAUUUGACUCAGACUUUGAAUGAUAGAAAAGAUUUCAGCAGUACAGAGGGGCGGAAUUCAGAGGAAUCUACAAAAGGAAAGAUGCAGACAGAGGGAAAAUAUACCAAUUAUUCAAGCAAGAGUGGGCUGUCCUGCACAUUUAAACAUAAUGUACUUAUAGGCAGGGGUACCACGAAAAACGUUUAUCAGGUUGUACACAGCUGCAUGUACUUGACUUAUCAGCUGGGAUGCUAUUUGUAAAACAACUAAUACUGGUAUAUAGUUACAGAAACGUGGCUACUGGAAGCGGAAAGCUAAGUCGGGUGAGACUGGAACGCCUUAAUGGCUUUGUUAACACAUUUGGAAUUUGGGGUUUUUUCAGUAGAAAGCUACUAGAGUUUUUCCAACAGGCUAGUGAGGCAAUUAGAAAGUUUACAAAGGAAGCAGAUUUCAAGUUGCACUGACUAGGAGAUAAGAAUCUACAGGUAGGGAGAGCAGUUACAACGGUAUUGCCACCUAACAGGUGGGGAGAAGUCCAUCAAUAUUGCUAGUGUAAUGAAUAUAAAGAGAAAAGGGAUAGGAAAACUACGGCAGAGGUGACACUGGCAGCAUGUAAUGACUGGUGGUGUGGGAAGCAAGGCUAGGGAAAGAAUGCAGGGUGAUUCCAAGGUUUCAAAUCAGAGUGAUGGGGAGGACGGUGGUGAAGUUGACACGAUGAUUCAAGAUCAGGGACCAAGGCGGACUGGAAGACUCUCAAUGGGUGGCUGUGCCAAAGGUGGGUGAACAGCACGAAUGAGGGGACUUUAGUACCCUUCCACUGUCCUCUCCGUCUGUGCCCCUUAACUCACUCCAAAUAAACAUAUAAUCCAGUAAAAGCAUUAAGUAUGCAGCCUUCCUUUCAUUACAUCACUCCUGCAGUUCCUUUUAUGUGGAGAUUCUGGAGACACUACUAAGGUACCUAAGUGGUGUGAGAGAUGGGAACAGAAGGCUUACAACCAGUCGUGUGCUGGAGCUGACUCAUAGCUGAUCUCUGUAACCAGUAACAUCAUGCAGCUUCACACUGACCAUGGUGGGAAUACUUACACCACAGCAACUGGCCAACUACAAAUCCAGGAGGCAUUAUUUCCCAGAGAUCCAGUUGUUCAAUUUUUAGACCUCUCUUGAGAAACUGGUUAUGAACAUUAAAAAAAAUAGUGAAGAUUUAGGUAAGCUCUUGAAUGUUUAUAAGGCAAAGUUUAAGAAUAUCAGUUGGAAGGUGAAAAGGGGGGAAGCGUAUAAUUUUGAGGUAUGCUUGAUAUACAUGCUAUCAAGGUUCAAGGAAGGUGGGAUGGCAGAAUUUAUUCCCACUUAGAAGAGAUCUCUAAACAUCUCUGCUAGUUAUUGGUUCCUUGAGGGAAAUUUUUUCUUCUGAUUUUUAAGACAAUAUUUAAUACUCUGGUACAAAUUAUGUUUUUCAAGACGACCAUUGUAGGUAGAUCCUGCUGCUUAUCUUUCUUGUGGCAAUGGUCCUGCUGGAUUUCCUCUACAAAUUUGGUUAAUGAUUCAAACUGAGCAGUAAUGACUUUCUUCCCCCAGCAGGCUAGCAUGCUUAAUAUGUAAAGCAGCUAUUAAAAAGAUAGCAAUUGACCUCAAUAGUGAAUCCCUAAACUUCUCUUUCAGGGCCCAUUCCUGGAAGUAGGUCUGUGCUAAAACGUCCAGUCCCUCCCUGUACGACCCCAUCUGCCUGGUCUUUCUCUUCCCUUCUCCAAAAGGCUAGUGUCAUGUGUACUGACUUUUUUUCAUAAUGAAUCAUUUCUAAGACUUAAUCCCGCAGUGGAGACAUUUAUUAAAGAAAUUGUUAACCAGAGCAGGCAGGAUACAAGAGGUGAUUAUGCCUAACUGACAUUUUGGUUGGAUUAAAACAAAGAGCCCAGUUACUUAAAACCAUAUUCUCCCAUCCAGGACAAAACAGUUCAUCAAGCCUACUCAUGUGUUGAAAAAAACUAUAGAUUGAGUAAUAGGUAUUCCCAUUUUACUUUCAAGAAAAUGAUUAGGCACUACCAAAGAGUCCAAUCUCAUUGUUAUGUGCUCUGAUAUAUAAUUGAUGCUCAAACAUGUUUGUGGACAGACAGGAAUAUUUUUUUGCAGCAGUGGGGUUCUGUUGCACUAAGCUUUACAUCAAAUAUUUGAGGAACUAAGGUAAUACAUGUCCCUUUCACUUAAAAUAUUUAGGACUGUCAGCUUAAUUUAGCCAAUCAAUAGCAUGUAAGUCUUGAGUAUUUAUUUAUUAUCUUAGUCAACCUGGGUACCUUUAAUUUUCAUUGGGAGAAAAUAUUAUAGGACACCUGUUGAUUAAUGACCAUUUUAAAAUUACCAAAGCAGAAUACAGAGUGACAUGAAAAAGUAUAAAAGAAGGGAGGAAAGGGAUGUGGUAAAUGUAUUUACCACAAAAAGGAUGGAGGGAAUGGAAGAAAGAUAAAGGGUUUACCUUUAUCUGGCGGUCUUAUUACAGUUUUGAGGGAUGAAGAAGGUGGUUUAACAUUGAUAACCUCUGGGAUCUCUGCAAAAUCUAGUGACUAAGUCAGGCUCCCUGAGAUUUGCUCUGAUGCCAAGAAAACAAAGAUCAGUUACUUAGAAUCAAAUUAACUUGUCAGAGUUGCAGACAAAUGUCAACCUCCCUGGGUUUGGAAAUAUAAAUGUUCGUGUGUCUUAUCUUUCAAACAUUUUCCCCUAAAUAUAUUGCACCAUACUUUGGCAUUUUUACUUUUUUUUUGUUCGCUAUGGCAUCUGCCUAUAAAUCUUAUGCAUGGAGAUACACAUAGGAGAAAUAACAAUAAACAUAUAUUGCUAAGGGCCACGUGAAUGACAGAAAACAAGAUGCAGCCUGAUGCAGACGUUGGAAUGUGGCACAGCAGAGAAGGAUAAGAGUGCAUUGGAAAAGUGGCAUUUGAGGGAGAAGGCAAGCAUUUCAGAGGCUCAAGGAUGGGUAGAGUGGUGCCUGAAAUGGGAGAUGUUGAUGAUACAAAUACAAUACAUUGGACUAAGGAAAGCUGAGUAUCGUUUUGAAUAGCGUACACCCCAUCAUUGAGGUUAGCAAUGUGUUAUGAUGUCAAAACAUCUUAUUGAGCAUGUACUAUGCUCUAGGUUUUCUUCUGUCCUAAAGACUUCAUAAGCAUUAUCUCAUUUAAACUCCACCCCCAUGAGGUAGUGCUCAUUUAACUUACAUUUUAUAGUUAGGUAACAGAAGCUCAGAAAAUUUAAUUAACUUACCCAAAGUCAAUAGUUGGUAAGCUAUACCUCUGAGUUCAGAGCUCAAGUUCUUUCAGCUCAUCAAAGUGCUAGAAUAGGAAUGAAGUGCACAGGACCGGACGGCAGCAUCAAAGACCAAUACAAGAUACACGGGAUAUGGUGGGUGCAUGGAGUAAAGGGGCUGAACAGGUGGGUAAAACUAUAGUCUGGACAAACAGUGAGAAAGGAAGUGGAAAGAGAAAGACAUGGAUGCCCUAUAUCGUUUGAAGGAAGUACUACCAGAACUUGAACUCUAACUGGUUGGAGGGGAUGAUGGAGAAAACAAGGGCCUGGAGACGAGGCCUGUGUGUUGGUGGGAAGGUAGUAAAAAUUAGGUUUUUAAUAUAAGACUAUAGGAAGUGGACGAAAGGGGAAGUCAGCAGAGUCACAAAAUGGCAAUUGCUGGUGUUGGGUACUGAGAUGGGCCACACUCUAUCACACCACACACAACUGCUUAUCCCAUAAGGAAUUUCCUUCCAGAGAUUUUUGGUCAGUUAGACCAUUACGGCAGUCAUGAGCCCUUACUGUCUCAAGAUUUAUAAAAAUAAAAUUUUCUUUUCACAUUCUCAAUUACUCCUUGGGCAUUCAGCUCAAACUUCCACUUCUGAUUUUUGUUUGGUACCUUUCUGAUGGCUUGUUUCUCACGGUUUGAAAACAGCUGUGGUUAAUGGGAUCUUUGCAUCAGUGGAUAUCACUUAGGAUAUUAUAAAUUUUCUCUGUCAGUAUAUUAGCUCUACCAGUGAAUUCCAAGCUUUUGUGACACAAUCCAGUUAAAAAAAAUUACCUUACAACCCAGUAUACACAUUCGUAUCCAACUGUUUAUUUAGUCCAUUAAAAUAAGAUACUACUAAUAGCAAUACUUCUGAUAUUUCUAUUCCAUUUAAAAAUGCUGACUGAAACCCACCAAAUUGGUAUCUCUAGUGACUCAAAGAUUGAAAAACAGAGAGCUCAACUCAGAGCUCCAAAUAGGAGAUAAGCAUGUGUUCGGUUUGGGCUUCUGGCGCUCAGCACAGACUCUAACGUGGAGAGCUUUAGAAAUGUUGAAAGCAAGGAAAAGGGAGGGAUGACAUCUUUUUGGUUGAUGAUUUAUUGUUCUUAAGAAAGAUUUGGUAGGUUCAUUACAUGCCCAGCUCAGUUUACGCCAUCUGUGCAUUUAGUAAAUUUGUUCCCAAAUCCCAGUAAUCCCAACUGCAGCGUUAAUCCAAGAGCCAUGAAAAUUGGGGUUGACGUCUCCUGAAAGUCAUGGACAGGCGCAGGGGCUAUAGAUGUGGCCAGAGGAGCUUCCGCCUCUUUAGCAAGUGCUGUGUCUUGGUGACUUCUCAGUUUUCCAGUAAGGGGCCAGGCAAACUCUGUGUGUGUGUACACAGUGCGUACACCCAUACACGGGGCUGGGGGGAGGAAAGCAACUCACCUAAGGGUAAAGCAGUGUCUUUGUCUGAAAAGAGAGCUCAAACAGAAGACAGGCUUGGCCCUGUGAUUUGAGUAAGAGAACAAAAGCUGAACAUCUAAUUCUGAAGUUUUAUCAGUGAUGUCUCUGUUAUAUUAUUCAAGCUAUUCUAAUCAAUAAGACAAUAGCAUCCCUGCUUUGAGCCAGGGGUCACUAGAUGCUAGAUGAAGUUAGCACAUGCUUUGACCUUAGGUUGCAUUUCUGUAUUUUGGAAUCAGUAGG
rnacentral:lncRNA from 1 species